CACGGUUGGCUCCUCUCAAAUGAAUCAGCUUGCCAGUGUUUGGUGGCGUCGCAGGUGUGAUAAUUAUCUAUGCUUGCGGUGUUCUGCCAGAUAACCUUCAGUGAUGGAGGUUCGCUGGAGCUCAUAAACGUCUCUCCUCAGUGGGGACAGCCCUUUGAACAUUUGAUCUCAAAUCAGGUAGGACUACCUGCUGAACUUAA
rnacentral:misc_RNA from 1 species